rnacentral:rRNA from 1 species
AGAGUUUGAUUAUGGCUCAGAUUGAACGCUGGCGGCAGGCCUAACACAUGCAAGUCGAACGGUAGCACAGAGAGCUUGCUCUUGGGUGACGAGUGGCGGACGGGUGAGUAAUGUCUGGGAAACUGCCCGAUGGAGGGGGAUAACUACUGGAAACGGUAGCUAAUACCGCAUAACGUCUUCGGACCAAAGUGGGGGACCUUCGGGCCUCACACCAUCGGAUGUGCCCAGAUGGGAUUAGCUAGUAGGUGGGGUAACGGCUCACCUAGGCGACGAUCCCUAGCUGGUCUGAGAGGAUGACCAGCCACACUGGAACUGAGACACGGUCCAGACUCCUACGGGAGGCAGCAGUGGGGAAUAUUGCACAAUGGGCGCAAGCCUGAUGCAGCCAUGCCGCGUGUAUGAAGAAGGCCUUCGGGUUGUAAAGUACUUUCAGCGGGGAGGAAGGCGAUAAGGUUAAUAACCUUGUCGAUUGACGUUACCCGCAGAAGAAGCACCGGCUAACUCCGUGCCAGCAGCCGCGGUAAUACGGAGCGUGCAAGCGUUAAUCGGAAUUACUGGGCGUAAAGCGCACGCAGGCGGUCUGUCAAGUCGGAUGUGAAAUCCCCGGGCUCAACCUGGGAACUGCAUUCGAAACUGGCAGGCUAGAGUCUUGUAGAGGGGGGUAGAAUUCCAGGUGUAGCGGUGAAAUGCGUAGAGAUCUGGAGGAAUACCGGUGGCGAAGGCGGCCCCCUGGACAAAGACUGACGCUCAGGUGCGAAAGCGUGGGGAGCAAACAGGAUUAGAUACCCUGGUAGUCCACGCCGUAAACGAUGUCGACUUGGAGGUUGUGCCCUUGAGGCGUGGCUUCCGGAGCUAACGCGUUAAGUCGACCGCCUGGGGAGUACGGCCGCAAGGUUAAAACUCAAAUGAAUUGACGGGGGCCCGCACAAGCGGUGGAGCAUGUGGUUUAAUUCGAUGCAACGCGAAGAACCUUGCCUGGCCUUGACAUCCACGGAAUUUGGCAGAGAUGCCUUAGUGCCUUCGGGAACCGUGAGACAGGUGCUGCAUGGCUGUCGUCAGCUCGUGUUGUGAAAUGUUGGGUUAAGUCCCGCAACGAGCGCAACCCUUAUCCUUUGUUGCCAGCGAGUAAUGUCGGGAACUCAAAGGAGACUGCCGGUGAUAAACCGGAGGAAGGUGGGGAUGACGUCAAGUCAUCAUGGCCCUUACGGCCAGGGCUACACACGUGCUACAAUGGCGCAUACAAAGAGAAGCGACCUCGCGAGAGCAAGCGGACCUCAUAAAGUGCGUCGUAGUCCGGAUCGGAGUCUGCAACUCGACUCCGUGAAGUCGGAAUCGCUAGUAAUCGUAGAUCAGAAUGCUACGGUGAAUACGUUCCCGGGCCUUGUACACACCGCCCGUCACACCAUGGGAGUGGGUUGCAAAAGAAGUAGGUAGCUUAACCUUCGGGAGGGCGCUUACCACUUUGUGAUUCAUGACUGGGGUGAAGUCGUAACAAGGUAACCGUA